rnacentral:rRNA from 1 species
UACGGAGGGAGCUAGCGUUAUUCGGAAUUACUGGGCGUAAAGCGUGCGCAGGCGGUUGUGCAAGACCGAUGUGAAAUCCCCGGGCUCAACCUGGGAAUGGCAUUGGUGACUGCACGGCUAGAGUGCGGAAGAGGUGAGUGGAAUUCCCGGUGUAGCGGUGAAAUGCGUAGAUAUCAGGAGGAACACCUGUGGCGAAAGCGGCUCACUGGACCAUAACUGACGCUGAUGCACGAAAGCUAGGGG